AUCCGGGGUGAGGACAGUGUCUGGUGGGUAGUUUGACUGGGGCGGUCUCCUCCCAAAGAGUAACGGAGGAGCACGAAGGUUAGCUAAUCACGGUCGGACAUCGUGAGGUUAGUGCAAAGGCAUAAGCUAGCUUGACUGCGAGAGUGACGGCUCGAGCAGGUACGAAAGUAGGUCUUAGUGAUCCGGUGGUUCUGAAUGGAAGGGCCAUCGCUCAACGGAUAAAAGGUACUCCGGGGAUAACAGGCUGAUACCGCCCAAGAGUUCAUAUCGACGGCGGUGUUUGGCACCUCGAUGUCGGCUCAUCACAUCCUGGGGCUGAAGUAGGUCCCAAGGGUAUGGCUGUUCGCCAUUUAAAGUGGUACGCGAGCUGGGUUUAGAACGUCGUGAGACAGUUCGGUCCCUAUCUGCCGUGGGCGUUGGAAGAUUGAGAGGGGCUGCUCCUAGUACGAGAGGACCGGAGUGGACGAAUCACUGGUGUUCGGGUUGUCAUGCCAAUGGCA
rnacentral:rRNA from 1 species